UCGGGAAUAUUGCGCAAUGGAGGAAACUCUGACGCAGUGACGCCGCGUAUAGGAAGAAGGUUUUCGGAUUGUAAACUAUUGUCGUUAGGGAAGAAAAAAGACAGUACCUAAGGAGGAAGCUCCGGCUAACUACGUGCCAGCAGCCGCGGUAAUACGUAGGGAGCAAGCGUUAUCCGGAUUUAUUGGGUGUAAAGGGUGCGUAGACGGGAAUUUAAGUUAGUUGUGAAAUCCCUCGGCUUAACUGAGGAACUGCAACUAAAACUGGAUUUCUUGAGUGCAGGAGAGGAAAGCGGAAUUCCUAGU
rnacentral:rRNA from 1 species